rnacentral:RNase_P_RNA from 1 species
GCGGAGGGCCGGACGGCCGCGGGCGGGCCCUUGGGCCGGUUCGAGGAAAGUCCGGACUCGCCGAAGCGCCGGUGCCGGGUAACGCCCGGGCGGGGCAACCCGACGGAAAGCGCCACAGAAAUGAUACCGCCAGCCGCCCGCGGCAGGUCAGGGUGAAAUGGUGGGGUAAGAGCCCACCGGGGGGCUGGCAACAGCGCCCGCAUGGCAAGCCCCACCGGGAGCAAUGCCAAAUAGGGACCCCGAGCGGGCUGAUCCCCUCGGGGAUAUCGCCGCAGGGCCGCUUCAGCCCGAGGGGUCCGGGUUGGCAGCUUGAGCCGCGUGGCGACGCGCGGCCCAGAGGAAUGGCCGUCGAACCCCGGGCUGCGGCGCGGGGGGAACAGAAUCCGGCUUACAGGCCCUCCGCGCAU